GCCUGCCCCACUACUGAAUUAAUCUUACUGAUUUAUUUGUUUGUUUAUGUGUCUCAAGCAGAGUUAUGCAAGCUUCAUGAGAGUAGAAACAUGUCUGUCAGUUAUCGCUAAUAAUAAUAAUAAUAAUAAGAGCAAAAUAAAAUAGUAUCUACUACGAUUCCUCAGUCUGGUCCUGUUCUAAGCUCUUUGCAUGCGUUAGGUCUUUACUCUUCAUUGCAACCUCAGGAGGUUGGUACUGUUAUUAUCCUCAUUUUAUAGUUGAAAGAACUGAAGAACAGGGAAUUUCAGUGACUUAUCAAAGGUCCCACUGCUAUUCGAUGGUAAAAAUUGGAACUUGAACCCAGGCAGGGUGGCUUCAGACACUACACUGCUCUGUACCAAUCGCAGGAGUUACAGAUGCGGAUAAGGCAGAGACACUCCUCUUGAAUACUCAGGAUUGGGAGGAUGGGCAAGAAAGAAAAUUCACAACAAAGCCUGGUAAGUUUUGUGUUUCAGGCAUCCAAGAGGGGCUAGGAAAGCAUGUAAGUGAGGCAUCUGAUUUAUAUGUAAAAAUCUUUCUGUAUUAGAAUAUAUCAGAAAAACCUGAUUUGUCUUCCUUAGUAUAUUUGUUGGGCUGUCAACAUUUGCCGAUUUAGGUAUCUAGCAUCAUUAUUGUAGAAACAUGGAGUGAGAUGAAACUUUUCCAAUGGAAAACACACUGAGAAACUGAGGUCUGAGACUGGAUUCUUCUUCUGAAAUGAGUUCGAUAUUUGUUUCCUGUUCCUUUACCCUGGCUAGGAUAGAAAUGAUUUCGCAGAUCAAAGGUGACGUGAGGGGCCUGGAGGAAGGUGAACCCAACCAUCAGGAGAAAACCAUUAUCUGCCUGCUUUGAAGAAAUCAUUUUGAAAUAAUGAGGCAUAAUUAAUGUCAGUGCUUAGGACUAUGUGAAAGUUUGCCAAGAUAGCCAGUGCAAUUCUGAAGGCCAGAAAUGGCAGUCUGGUUACAGGUAUGCCAAGUGACCAUCGCAUGCUUCACAGAAUUUAGCAGCCAAAUGAGAUUAACUGUAUGCAUCAAGUAAGGAAUUAGACUGCAAUUACAACCAAUAAUGGUCAGUCUUCAUUUUGAGCCAGGAGCCCGUCUAAGGGCCCUGCAGCUUAUGAAAUCCUCACAGCAAACGUGGUGAGGUAGGUAUUAUUAUUAUACUCCAUUUACUGAGAGGGAAAUUGAGGUCCAGAAAGGUUAAGUAAUUUGACUAAUAUCACACAGGUACAAAGUGUGAAUUUGAACCCAACCAUAGGGUUAUGUAAAUAAAACAAGCAAAUAGUUAACACCAUUGAGUGGCUAUGAUUUGCACGGCGCUGUGCUAGGCACUUGAAUGUGUGUCUCAUUUACUCUUCAUAACCCAUAUGAAGUGAGUGUUAUAUUACAGGUAGAGAAACUGAGACUCAAAUAGGAUACAAACUUGCAAUUCAUUGAACUCCUUUAAACUAGCCAGUGGGGCACUGGUCUUUCUUCUCCAUAAUUGCCUUUAUUGCCCCACAUUCUUCCCCUCUGGUACUUUUGGCUCAUUCUUUGUGCUUUUAUGAUACACAGCUCAAUAAUAUGCAUAGUAUAAAACCUGCUAACAUUUUCUGAGCCCAGACUAUGUGCUGGGCAUUGUGCUAAACUGUUUUCCAUUAAUUACCUCAUUUAAUCUUUGCAGCAACCAAAUGUCACAGAUACUAUUGUUAGUACCGUUUUAUAUAUGAAGGAACUGAAGUUCAGAGAGAUGCUCCUGGCGGCAGUUUGCAGCAGUGUCUGGGGAUGCAAUUUUCCUACGAGAAAAUGGAGCAUUUUAAAGCUUCGCUGCAUUGCCCUGCAUCAAGAAUAAGUGAACCAGAUUCAGAAUUCUUUUAAUUUUUGAACAUUAAAAAACUUGCAAUCCUGUUUUAAAAUGUGUGUGUGUUUGUUUUUUUCUGGAAUCAGGGUGGUUUGGAAUUAUAUUCUUUGUGGUAUGUUUCUUGAAAAGUGAAAAGUUCUCUUGGGCCCUGGUUAAUUCUGGAUGCUUCCUCUUCCCCUGUCUUUCUGUGGCUCUCUGUUCUGUUCUCAGGACAGUCACCAUUAGCUUGCGUCUCCUGAAGGAACAAGUGGAGCGGGGGCAGGGUGUUGGGUCUCUGGGAAACUCAUUUGCAUACUUCUUGUUACAAAGGCCGACCACAUCCCGGGUAAGACAAUGUGCUGUCUGAUAAACAGCCUGCGUCCCCCAGUGUCUGCCUGGAGCUCAGCCAGCGUGUGGUCCGCCUUUGUCACAAGGUGCUGUUUAUUCUGCCUGGAAGUCCAAGGACAGGACAAACCAGCUAAAUGAACCUUUUAUUUCCUCUAUUCUCUGGCAGAAAUUCCUUGGGUCAAAAACAUUUAUUAAUAUUAGAUUCAGGGGGAGGCAAUCAGAAUUCUCCAAAGAAGCUUCUCUAACACUAUGGAAAACCUCUAAGAGGUUUUUAUCUUCCUUUCUAGCUCUGAAUUCUAUGGGGAUUGGGCAAACUAAGAAACUUAGAAAAUAGAGUGCGAGGGUGAUAUAAAGAUCAAAGUUUGCCAAGAUGUUGUGUUGAAAAAUAUUUCUUUCCACAUCUGUUUCUACGUGUUCUCUUUCUCUUUUCCUUCUCUCUCCCUACCCAACACACAGACAAAAGGAAAUGAAGGCUUAGACAAUUAAUUAGAGACUGCUGGACGUGUUGUUUAAGAAUCUGGAUAAUUGAGUUCUAAUUUCUCCGUUCUCCCUACAAUUUGGUAAAUUAAAAAAAAAGAUUUUGAGAUGCAGUCUCAUUUAUGGCCGUUAAGGUAAGAAAUCUCUCUUUAUGCUACCCUUUCAUUGUUUUUUCUUUUUAACUCCCUUCAAAACAAUUCAAGAUUUCCUGCUCUGCUUAAGGUAUUUUCAAAUCUAGAUGUGGGACAUAUUUUAAGAUAUAUUUUAAUCACAAAUUUUAUUGGGGAACGUAGUCACUCGAGGAAGGUGCUCUGUGAUACAGAAGUUGUCUUAAUAUUUUUUAUCAGUAAUUUCUGUAAGCAGACUUUGUCUUGAGGGAAUAGAAUAUGCAGCUAUUUCCUUUCUGCAUUUCUAGUGAUCUCUUAAAUAUAUCACAGCCGCUCAUCUGUGGCUAGUCCCACAUGUGUAGGGAAGAGUUUUAGUAAAGUAUUGGCUGGAAUCCUCCUGGAGGUACUCGUGGAGGAUGAUGCUCGAGAUGCUAUUACAGAACCGUUUGAAAAAGACACCAGUCGGCGUUUUGAAGGAUUACCGACAUUUCUAAUAAAGCCUCUGAAGGGAUUUCUGGCAGCUGAAGAACAAUAAUAUGAUAGAGAUUGAUUAUUUUGAGGUUUAGAAGCUAAAUACUUGCACGUGGUGAAUAUUGAGGUUUGUUGUGAAAAUGAAAGUUAGAAUUGUAUAGAAAACUUUGUGAAGGAGUAGCCUGCGAGCGAGACAAUAUCAGCUUUGUCUGAGCGAUAUCACCUUUUGUGGAUUAGGAAAGGUCACUAAACCUUAGUGAACGGUUUUUCCUCUGUUUUCAUCAUACCAGUCCUCAAGAUUCAUGGUCAGUAGCAAUUGGAAGCUGACAAGGACCAUAAGCUGACUUCUCUAUAGAGGCAGUUGUAAAAAGAGCAACCUCCAUAAACACUGUGAGGUGCAUUCCUCCUAGUUUGGCUACCAAGAAAAGAUUUCUCACUGUGUUUUACCUGCUGCAAAAUUGGGAAUUCCAGAAAUCUCACAGUGUCCAGAUGAAUUUUCUUUCUGAAUCUGGGAUGCAGCACCCUUUUUUGAAAGACAAAGAGAGGAUUUUGCUGAGAUUUCAUUGAAGAUCUUGACUAUGAACCAAAACUUCUUUGCUUGUGGAGUGGAGAGAAAAGUGAAGAAUAUGAUGGACACCAUUAUGGUGACAAUGAAGAGGAAAACAGCAACUUGUCAAUUCCCCACUCGGGGCAGUCAGAGGUCUCCAGAGAGGGGACAAGGGCAAGGAAGAAACUGAAGAUGCAGUCCGCUCCGACUUAUUUAACAGGCCAGCUUGAACAGGGCACUAGAUAAGCGAGUGUCACAAUUCCUGGUCCGUGGUUUUUUUAAUGCCAACCAUUUAUUUGAACAGAGGGCAAUUUGGGUAGGCAGCUACAUGAUUUAUUGCCAUGCUGACCUGAUCAGGGACUGCGAGGAGAAGAGCAGUAGUUCUGAGGUGUCCCAGAAGUUCUCAGACCUGCAUGGAUUUUGAUGGUUGAAUUUACAUAUUUCUGCAUAGCCAUAAAACACUCCUUCCUUUGUUCCUACUCAAGAUUCCGCCCAGGUCCCUGCCCAGUCCCUCCCUGAGGCAAUCUUAGGGAGCUGCCUAUCAGAGAACCUCAAUGGGAUCACGUUGUGGGGUCCUUUCAUUAUCGUAUAAUUAUACCCUGGGAGGCCCGGUGGUCCCUUUACGUUUCAGCUCUCUGGUGACAUUUCAUGUUAAGUUCAACUGUGUGCUUCUCACUGUCCUUGUACUUUUGGUUCUGGUUUUUGAUGGAGGCCCAUUUUUCUUAGAAUAUUUUUUACUUUCAUUUUCUUGUUUCUAAAGCAGUAUGACACCUACUUUCUAUUACUUGUUAUUCUCCAUCAACGUCACUUAACAAGAAAGCUAAAAAUUAAUGUAUGCUUUAUAUAUUUAGUUUGUGUGUUGACAAAUAAAAAUGGCAAACAAUAGGAUAUAUUGGAGAAUAUGAGGAAGCCAUUUGGUAUAAACCUAAUCCCCGCCCUGUCUUUCCAAAAGGGCCUGACGGGCUGUUGAGCAUGCAUUGUCUAUCUGCUUUAGAUAUUCCCUAUGGCAAGAACAAACGCCCUUGAGAUAAAGGUGCAACUUCCCUCCCACUCCCAAGUUGGCAUUCCCUUAAGGAUUAAGCAUCUUUCCUUAGGCUAGGAACUGAUUGCUGCGCUCACCUGUGACCACCCAGCUCGAGACAAUAGGCGUGCCUCCUGCUAUGCCCGCUGAGAUAGCAGACCCACUACCUGCUGUGUCCAUCAAGUGCUGUGCCGACAGGGCAAUCUUGUGACUAUUGUGGGAGGGACAUUUCAAUCAUAUGUGAAACGUCCUGGUUGGGGGUAUACAACCACUCUGUAUACCUCACUUCUUUUGUGCCCUUUCUUCUGGAAGAAAGGCCCUGGGCCAUGGUCCUCAGAUUUCAGCUGAGAAUAAACUCACCGAAAUUUUCAUUUAUAGAUUGGUUAUGGAUUAUUUUCACUGACAGUGUCUUUUUUCUUUUACACGUAUUUAAUGGAGCAGAUAGGCGAAGUAAGAAUUGGGCUGGAAAAUAACCAUAGGACGUAGAGAAUUUUUAAGGUGAGAAGAGGUUUACAGAAAAGAAAGUUGAAAGAAGAAUGCCAGAGUGGAGGUGGAGAGAAUUGUUACCAGCCAACAAAUGUAUGUGUGUGUUUCUGAUGAAAGCCCUUUUUCCAGAAUGUGUAGAGAACUGUGUAGAGAAUUAUUUAAAAAUAAAAAAGGACCGUCCAGUAGACAAACGUGCAAAAGACUUUAAUAGAUACUUCUUAAAAGUGAGUAUCCAAAUGGCUAAUAAAUCAUAUGAAAAUGUGCCCCACAUCAUUGCUCAUCAGGGAAUUUAAAUUAAAGCCACAAUGCAAUAAUACUACACCUCGACUAGGAGGAUGAAAAUUAAAAGACAAUAUCCAAUGUUGGUAACGGUAGAGCAGGUGGAAUUCUGGGGUACUAUUAGUGAGAGUGUGAAUUGGUAUAAUCACUUUGAAAAAAUAUUUGGUAGGCUCUAUUAAAGUUGAAUAUAUGCAAAAUUUAUGAGCCAGAAAUUCCACUUGUAGGUAUGUAUUCAAUGGAAAUAUGUACUCACUAAAAGACAUGUAUAAGAGUUCAUAACAGCACUAUUUAUAAUAGACCAAAACUGGAAACAACUCAAAUAUUCAUUAAAAAGAUUAUAAAUUAUUAGACACUUCACGAGCCAGGUAAAUAAUCAGCAUGGAUCCAACAGAAAGAUAGCUGGAUGACAAUUCUUUGUGAACCUGGACAUGGUGUUGGUGUUAGAAGCCUGGGGUCCAGCUGAGGGUGUAGCUGGAGCCUAAGUGCUAUGAGUUACCCUUUUCACAUAAAUGGUAGGUGGCAUGGCUGAUGUGCCACCUCUGUCUUUGUGAGAUGUCUGAACAUCCUCUUUCAAUCUUUCCUACAGUUUUUCCCUCAUGAGGACAAGACCCAGAAUUGCAAGCAUCUGGUGGCAUUUAAAUGAACUAUCUGUCCACCAUUUAUUUCACGGAUUGAGAAUAAGCAGAUUGUUCUUUAAAAAAUUCUACUAAGCGCUAUGUAGUACCCUGGAGAUCUUGGAAUAGUACAAGGGCAUUAGUGGAAAAAAUUGGUGGUUCGAAUAAAUUCUGUGAUUUAGUUAAUUGUACUGUACCAAUGUCCACUUCUUAGUUUCGACAAAUGUACCAUAAUUCUGUCAGUGUUAACAUUAGGGACAACUGGGUGAAGCCUAUAAAGGAAUUCUUUGUAUUCUCCUUGCAACUGUUCUGUAAAUCUAAAAUUAUUUCAAAAUAAAACAAAAUAUUAAACAAAUCCCAGCCCUAAAAUUGAAUGCCUUUUUUUAACCUUCAAAAUUAGAAAUUUAUUAUAUGUUUUGAACACAACAUAACAUUUUAACAUCCUUGGAAUUUUAUUUUAUUUCACAGUUUUUCUGUUACUCAUUAGUAGAGAAUAUUCACCAAUCAUACUUAUUAAAUAUAGGAUAGCUUACAAGGAUAUAA